GACACUGAGUGAGAAACGUCCCCGUCGUAGUGUCGGUAAUGCGUUGUUUCAACGUAGCCAAUUCUCAC
rnacentral:ribozyme from 1 species